CCCUAGCCGCGAUAGCAGUGAAAUCCUUUUUUGCCGGUGUUCGGUAUAAAAGAUUGAAACGCAUAGCGGGAAGAGCU
rnacentral:sRNA from 1 species